rnacentral:lncRNA from 1 species
CCCACACACCUAAGUUAAGGGUGAUUUGUUCUACAGCAAGGAACAGGGAGAAAGGCUAUAAUUUAAGCAUUGAGAUCGCGGUCAAAGAUCAAGAAUCGAUCAAAGAUCCAAAAAUCUGAGAUUCACCUUAGAGAAAAUAAAUCUAUAACAAGAAGAAAGGUUCUAGCUUGAUCCUGAAAGAUAUUUAUAGAGGUCGAACAUGUGUGCGGCUUAGAAACCUUCAGAUCUA